UCGCACCUACCGAUUGAAUGAUUCGGUGAAAAUUCUGGACUGUGGCUCGGACGCCUUCGGGCGACCUUGCUGUAGGAAGUUAUUUAAACCUCAUCAUUUAGAGGAAGGUGAAGUCGUAACAAGGUUUCCGUAGGUGAACCUGCGGAAGGAUCAUUACCACACCCUCAAAUA
rnacentral:rRNA from 1 species